rnacentral:ncRNA from 2 species
CCUACACGUAAGCAAUGAUCAUUAUGGUGACGGGGACGCAAAGCCAAGGGUCUAAGGUACUUAAUGUACUAUGAUAGUCUGGCUGCUAAA